GUCAAUUUUCGCUAGAAAUCACUGACGUGGCGAUAUGCCACAUACGACGGCUAGCGAUGCUUAGACUGCCACGACAGAAAAUGUUUAGGACAAUAUGAAAUUACAACAUCUUUAUGACUUUUUUGGUAAAUUUUUCCAUAUUUUUUUUUUGAGAUGACAAAAGAAAAAUGAAAUUACUAAUGCCGCCAUUCACCUAAGAUUGAUAACGUGAAAAGAAGAACAGAAAAAGAGGUUGCCAAAUUCGUUUGUUCUGGGUGAGGUCAAGACAACGAGAGAGGAUUACUUGUUCUUGACCACUUCGGCUGAAAAUCAAGAGGAGAAUUCAAUCUCUCCCAACUCUUUCUAUCCAGAUUCCAUACUCUCGUGGUUAUCUCAGGAUUUCAAUCAAGUAUUGUUGCUGCCACCAUCAUUUUGGAACCACUUCUUUUUUCCUUUUUUCCAGCACGUUAUCAAGUCAAGAGACGUGCCCUAGAUCGCAUCUAUCUCUCUUCACAUAUAUAAUUCCAAAAAGACCGGGAAUCAUUUCUAUUUUUUUCCAAGUUGCUGUCGUUUAGGAAAUGAUUGUCCGUGACCUUGUGCUAGUCAUGUGGAAAGCAGCAAAAAGAAUAAAAAAACAGUACUACUUCAGGUAUUUGACCUCUUGUACUUAUCCAUUAUGACUUAGCAUGUUGCUGUCGGCAUUUAAAUUUUUUUUUUAUUGGUGGUUGAUGUAAAAUUUAUUUCACUGGAAACUGACCUAGAAAUUCUAUAGACAAAACAAGUUUCAUAUACCAACGGCACGCCUUUUGUUUUUUCAAAAUCCACUGUCGAAAACAGGUCUUUCCUGGAAGCUCGUCGGUGAGAUUUGAGAGUCCUACUUGCAAUUUGCUUUCCCAGAUUUUGGACAGAUCCCUAGUAUCCUAAUUGCAUUUGAUCUUUGUCUCCCGCUAUUUACACGUUCUGUGUGGGGCAAAUAGUUGGUGUUAUUUGCACGUAGUCCAUAAAUAAAGCAGUCCCCAUCAUCAUCAUCUCUGCUUUCCUUUUGUCA